rnacentral:rRNA from 1 species
GCUACACAUGCAGUCGACGGUAACAGGAAGCAGCUUGCUGCUUCGCUGACGAGUGGCGGACGGGUGAGUAAUGUCUGGGAAACUGCCUGAUGGAGGGGGAUAACUACUGGAAACGGUAGCUAAUACCGCAUAACGUCGCAAGACCAAAGAGGGGGACCUUCGGGCCUCUUGCCAUCGGAUGUGCCCAGAUGGGAUUAGCUAGUAGGUGGGGUAACGGCUCACCUAGGCGACGAUCCCUAGCUGGUCUGAGAGGAUGACCAGCCACACUGGAACUGAGACACGGUCCAGACUCCUACGGGAGGCAGCAGUGGGGAAUAUUGCACAAUGGGCGCAAGCCUGAUGCAGCCAUGCCGCGUGUAUGAAGAAGGCCUUCGGGUUGUAAAGUACUUUCAGCGGGGAGGAAGGUGUUGAGGUUAAUAACCUCGUCAAUUGACGUUACCCGCAGAAGAAGCACCGGCUAACUCCGUGGGGGGCGGGCGGGGGGUAAUACGGAGGGUGCAAGCGUUAAUCGGGAAUUACUGGGCGUAAAGCGCACGCAGGCGGUCUGUCAAGUC